UACGGGGGGGCAAGCGUUGUCCGGAUUUAUUGGGCGUAAAGAGCUCGUAGGCGGUUGGGUAAGUCGGGUGUGAAAACUCAGGGCUCAACUCUGAGACGCCACUCGAUACUGCUCUGACUCGAGUCCGGUAGGGGAGCGUGGAAUUCCCGGUGUAGCGGUGAAAUGCGCAGAUAUCGGGAGGAACACCAGUGGCGAAGGCGGCGCUCUGGGCCGGAACUGACGCUGAGGAGCGAAAGCGUGGGUAGCAAACAGG
rnacentral:rRNA from 1 species